AGAGGGUGCAAACGNNGCNCGGAANNACUGGGCGUAAAGCGCGUGUAGGCGGGCCUCCAAGNCGGACGUGAAAGCCCCGAGCUCAACNCGGGAAUNGCAUCCGAAACUGAGGGCCUNGAGUAGUGGAGAGGGAAGCAGAAUUCCUGGUGUAGAGGUGAAAUNCGUAGAUAUCAGGAGGAACACCGGUGGCGAAGGCGGCUUCCUGGACACUGACUGACGCUGAGACGCGAAAGCGUGGGGAGCAAACAAGAUUAGAUACCCUGGUAGUCCACGCCGUAAACGAUGGGUGCUGGGUGUCGUGGGUUUUGACCCCUGCGGUGCCGUAGCUAACGCGUUAAGCACUCCGCCUGGGGAGU
rnacentral:rRNA from 1 species